UCUAUUUCAUGUUUUGAUUUUUUGGCCACAAGGCAUAUGGGAUGUUAGCUCCCAGAGUAGGCAUUGAACCCACACCGCCCUGCAUCAGAAGGCAAAGUCUUAACCAUUGGACCACCAUGAGAGCUCCUGUUACUGUGCUUUGAAGAAAGGAAUUUGGAGCAGCCACCAUCUGAAAUAAAAGCUAGUUUUGGCAUCAGAAGAUCCACCAGAAACCUGAAAAUAUUCCUGACAGAAUUUUCUGGCUACAAAAUAGGAAAUAUUACUCUAACGUGCAGCACUUGAGAAAUGUGACAUGCCACAAGGAGAUUGACCAAACAACGUCACCCAGGUGAUGCCGAGUGAGCAGAAAAUAACACAGCAUUGUAAAACAACUGGACUCCGAGGGAAAAAAGAAAGCUCCAUGGGGAUGACGUCAUCAUUUCAUCCUUUCAUCCUCUUGCUGUAGAACACACAGAAUUUGUCUGUGUCCACAGCUGCAGAGAACGACUGUUUAAUAGACAAUGCCGUCUGACCUCUGUCCACUCAUAUUGAUGUACAUCAGACAAGCUAGCCAUCUAUAAAAUGACUCUUGCCUAUUUUUUUGUUCUUAUUUCUUAACUUUGCAGUGAUACAUCGACAUCUAUAUAUACUUUCAAUCCAGUAUAUUUUGUGUGAUAAGCAAUGGAUAAGUACAUUUCAGUGGGAACUGUAAGAGAUUUCCAGGUCAUUCUGGUAUCUGUUAUUUUCUUAGAAGUAAACCUGACAAUUGAACAUUGAGUCAAAACUGAACUUCCUUUUUCAUGGCAGAAUUUAAAACUUAGAUGAAUGCUAAUGUUUGGAUGUAGCUCCUCGAAAAAAGAAAAAAAAAAAAAAGCUUCACAAAAACAGAUUGCAUUAUAUCAACUUGGUGCUCAUGUGCACUUCCACCAUAAAAACACUAGAAAAGACAAGAAGCUAUAAAACAAAUGAAAAGUGAGCCACAGGCAUAAAUUAUAAAAAUGGAAAUAUAUGAAAAUAUUUUACAGCUUCUUUUAGCAAUUAUGUUGAAACCAAAUCGAACACUUCAGAAAAGUGUUGGAGGAUUGUCAAAAGUCAAAUUGGAGGAUUUGGAAGUGUCAGUUUUCAUUAGGGAUUUGCACCUCUGCACUGCUGCCUUAGAUAAAGCCUGUGUUUGGAUAGACCCAAAUGGGAGUAAUGGACUCAAAGGGGAGUAAACGAAAACCAUGUCUGCAAACCACUGAAUCAGCGGACAUCACAGUAGAGACAACAGCUGAAGAGCAAAAAGCUCCCGAUGCACUUGUCCCAGAGAUAACCUUUCAAGUCGGAAAUGCAUUUGCUAGGGUCUGGCAAGAAGCAGCUCCCUUGCUCGCUUUCUGAUAAUCAAAGAAGACUUUGACAAAGUCUUUGACAAAGACAAAGAUAAUCAAAGAGCAUCCAUGGUUGUCAAUUAAAUUCUUUAGCUCUGACUUCUGUUCUUAACUCCACUUUCAAGUCUGUGUUCAUGUAACAUGUUUGAUCUGGGUUUGCUUAGGAAGAUGGAUGGUAAUGAAAAAAUGACUUUUUAUAUUUCUGUCCAAAAUUUACAUUUCUCUAACAUAACUUCAGUGGUUGCCUCCUCGACUUUUUUUUUUUUUCUAUUAUUUACUAUUUUUCUUAGAAAUUGUGAAUGUGG